CCUACGGGAGGCAGCAGUAGGGAAUCUUCCGCAAUGGACGAAAGUCUGACGGAGCAACGCCGCGUGAGCGAUGAAGGCCUUCGGGUCGUAAAGCUCUGUUGUUAGGGAAGAACAAGUAUCGGAGUAACUGCCGGUACCUUGACGGUACCUAACCAGAAAGCCACGGCUAACUACGUGCCAGCAGCCGCGGUAAUACGUAGGUGGCAAGCGUUGUCCGGAAUUAUUGGGCGUAAAGCGCGCGCAGGCGGUCCUUUAAGUCUGAUGUGAAAGCCCACGGCUCAACCGUGGAGGGUCAUUGGAAACUGGGGGACUUGAGUACAGAAGAGGAAAGCGGAAUUCCACGUGUAGCGGUGAAAUGCGUAGAGAUGUGGAGGAACACCAGUGGCGAAGGCGGCUUUCUGGUCUGUAACUGACGCUGAGGCGCGAAAGCGUGGGGAGCAAACAGGAUUAGAUACCCUGGUAGUCC
rnacentral:rRNA from 1 species